UACGUAGGGGGCAAGCGUUAUCCGGAUUUACUGGGUGUAAAGGGAGCGCAGGCGGCAUGUCAAGUCUGAUGUGAAACUCCGGGGCUCAACCCCGGAACUGCAUUGGAAACUGUCGUGCUUGAGUGUCGGAGAGGUAAGUGGAAUUCCUAGUGUAGCGGUGAAAUGCGUAGAUAUUAGGAGGAACACCAGUGGCGAAGGCGGCUUACUGGACGACAACUGACGCUGAGGCUCGAAAGCGUGGGGAGCAAACAGG
rnacentral:rRNA from 1 species